CUUAUGGUUUUGGGUAGGAGUAGAGGUGGGUUUGGAUGGGGAUGAGAUAUGGGUGGAAGAUGAUGAUGGUUUUUUAUUUAAUUAUUUUAAUUACUUCUAUAUGGAAAGAGAGAGUUACAAUCUUAAAUAAUUAAUAGGUCAAAAUCAUUUUCUUGGUCAAUUAUUGAAAAAGUAGAUGGAUUCCUAGAAUUUAUACCUUUGGAUUUGUGAAAUUUUUAAUGAUAAGUAGAGAAGGAAAUGCACGAUCAUGCAGCAGAAGAUGAAGUGGUGGACAGAUUUGAAGCAGCCAGUGAGAAAACGGGUGUGAAUGAAGAAAAGAUGAAUGAUAAAUCAAGAAAUGAUGAAAAUCCGAAAACAGAAAAAGUUCCCAGAAUUGUCAUUUAGGUAGUGAAAAAACUUCAUUUGAUUCCUCAGAACUGAUUUAACGUGGUUGUGAUUGCAAAGGAGAAUUGGGGCUUUUACAUAGAAAUUGUGCAGAGACCAGGUUUGGGUAGAGAGAUCUCAGGUACAGUUCAUGAUAUUUGACGUCUACGUUUCCCACAUGAAAAUUAUUAUUAUUAUUUUUUUUUAAAUGGGUUUUAGAUCAAUAAUAAUCUAAUGGACAAUAAGAGGAUUUUGAUUAAAAUAGAAGCCUUUUAGUUUCUGUCUGGAGUUUCUACUUUCCAGACAGCUUUCUCCUUAAAUGAGAGGUAGAAAAUGGCCCAGGCUUGGUUGGUAUGGCUUUACACGACAUGGAACUCAUUUGCACGGGGCUAUUUCGUACCUUGAUAACAAGGCUUUACAGGGUUUCAGGGCCUUUUUUUAUUUUUUAUAAUUAUAUUUUCAAGGAUAUCAAUAAAAAGAAAAAUGAAAAAAAAAGGGGGGUUUUCGACGACAGAAAAACACAGGCUAUUCUAAUAAGACAGCUUUAUAAUUGUC
rnacentral:lncRNA from 1 species